GGUGUUCCUAGGUUUGGAAGCAUAAAUCCCAGGGGAAGUGAGCUGAAGAACAUCUCAUGCAUCACUCGUCCUAUCGUGAGCCCUGUGCUGCUCCAUCUCUGUACAAGG
rfam:Tursiops truncatus cont1.423256, whole genome shotgun sequence.